rnacentral:rRNA from 1 species
GAUGAACGCUGGCUGUGUGCCUAAUACCUGCAUGUCGAGCGAAGCACUUUUGUGCUUAGCGGCGAAUGGGUGAGUAACACGUACUUAACCUACCCUCAAGAUUGGGACAACACUUGGAAACGAGUGCUAAUACCAAAUACGUAUUUUUAUCGCGUGAUAGAUAUAUAAAAGGAGCUUCGGCUUCACUAGAGGAUGGGAGUGCGCUACAUUAGUUAGUUGGUAGGGUAAUGGCCUACCAAGACUAUGAUGUAUAGCGGGGCCGAGAGGCUGAUCCGCCACACUGGGACUGAGAUACGGCCCAGACUCCUACGGGAGGCAGCAGUAGGGAAUUUUCCACAAUGAACGAAAGUUUGAUGGAGCGACACAGCGUGCAGGAUGAAGGUCUUCGGAUUGUAAACUGCUGUUAUAAGAGAAGAAAAACCCUGGUAGGUAAUGACCAGGACUUGACGGUACCUUAUCAGAAAGCGACGGCUAACUAUGUGCCAGCAGCCGCGGUAAUACAUAGGUCGCAAGCGUUAUCCGGAAUUAUUGGGCGUAAAGAGUUCGUAGGUGGUUUUGUAAGUCUGAAGUUAAAUACCGGGGCUCAACCCCGGCCCGCUUUGGAUACUGCAAAACUAGAGUAAUAGAGAGGUUAGUGGAACUCCAAGUGAAGCGGUGGAAUGCGUAGAUAUUUGGAAGAACACCAAUGGCGAAAGCAACUAACUGGAUAUUAACUGACACUGAGGAACGAAGCGUGGGUAGCAAACAGG